AAGAUCGAAAGGGGGAGAUUCAUCGUCAGCGACACUGGCUUCACGGUCGGCUCGCGAUGCCGCGGGGCUCUUUCCGGCUCCGUGGCACGCGGUCAUCGCGUUGCGUCCCGGUGGCGUCGGCGUGCACUUCUCCCCCGGUAGAACGUCGCGACCCGUUGGGUGCCGAUCUAAGGUCCGAGCGGGCGUCUGUCGCGUCGCAGUUAAAUGCACCGCGGCAAACCCUCGGUUCAUCCAGCAUCGGCUGCCCGGCGGUACUCGCAUGGUAUCGGGCCGCAAAACACUUUGAACUGCGUCGGGCCCGCCGCAAGCUUGGUCAGAUCAUGCUUCGGAGGCACGGAACUAAGCGCCGUCCCCGUGCCUGGCCAGCUGUUGGCAGGCGGUGUCCUCUGACAGGCCAAUAACCCUUUUCGAGAGUGUGAUACCGGUCGGCGACGCUACUGCUUUGGGUAAUCUCAGGACCCGUCUUGAAACACGGACCAAGGAGUCUAACAUGUGCGCGAGUCAUUGGGACCGCAUGCCUAAAGGCGAAAUGAAAGUGAAGGUCGUCCUUGAAAAGUCGACCGAGGGAGGAUGGGCCGCGUCGAGGCGCGGCUCCGCACUCCCGGGGC
rnacentral:rRNA from 1 species